AACGAACGCUGGCGGCGUGCCUAACACAUGCAAGUCGUGCGAGAAAGUUCCUUCGGGAGCGAGUAAAGCGGCGCACGGGUGAGUAACACGUAGGUAACCUGCCCCCAGUCUGGAACAACUAGAGGAAACUCUAGCUAAUGCCGGAUGAGACCACGAUCCCUUCGGGGGUUGCGGCCAAAGAUGGCCUCUACUUGUAAGCUAUCGCUGAGGGAUGGGCCUGCGGGCCAUUAGCUUGUUGGUGAGGUAACGGCUCACCAAGGCUGUGAUGGCUAGCUGGUCUGAGAGGAUGACCAGCCACACUGGGACUGAGACACGGCCCAGACUCCUACGGGAGGCAGCAGUGGGGAAUAUUGGACAAUGGGCGAAAGCCUGACGCAGCGACGCCGCGUGGGUGAUGAAGGCCUGGUCGUAAG
rnacentral:rRNA from 1 species